UGCAAGUCGAACGGUGGACGACCAGCUUGCUGGUCUGAUCAGUGGCGAACGGGUGAGUAACACGUGAGCAACCUGCCCCUGACUCUGGGAUAACGACCGGAAACGGUCGCUAAUACCGGAUAUGAGACGUACAGGCAUCUGUUGCGUCUGGAAAGUUUUUCGGUCAGGGAUGGGCUCGCGGCCUAUCAGCUUGUUGGUGGGGUAACGGCCUACCAAGGCGACGACGGGUAGCCGGCCUGAGAGGGCGACCGGCCACACUGGGACUGAGACACGGCCCAGACUCCUACGGGAGGCAGCAGUGGGGAAUAUUGCACAAUGGGCGCAAGCCUGAUGCAGCGACGCCGCGUGAGGGAUGACGGCCUUCGGGUUGUAAACCUCUUUCAGCAGGGAAGAAGCGCAAGUGACGGUACCUGCAGAAGAAGCGCCGGCUAACUACGUGCCAGCAGCCGCGGUAAUACGUAGGGCGCAAGCGUUGUCCGGAAUUAUUGGGCGUAAAGAGCUCGUAGGCGGUUUGUCGCGUCUGCUGUGAAAACCUCAGGCUCAACCUGGGGCUUGCAGUGGGUACGGGCAGACUAGAGUGCGGUAGGGGUGACUGGAAUUCCUGGUGUAGCGGUGGAAUGCGCAGAUAUCAGGAGGAACACCGAUGGCGAAGGCAGGUCACUGGGCCGCAACUGACGCUGAGGAGCGAAAGCAUGGGGAGCGAACAGGAUUAGAUACCCUGGUAGUCCAUGCCGUAAACGUUGGGCACUAGGUGUGGGGCUCAUUCCACGAGCUCUGUGCCGCAGCAAACGCAUUAAGUGCCCCGCCUGGGGAGUACGGCCGCAAGGCUAAAACUCAAAGAAAUUGACGGGGGCCCGCACAAGCGGCGGA
rnacentral:rRNA from 1 species